GCCGGGGUAGCUCAGUGGUAGAGCACAUCACUGAAAAUGAUGGGGUCGAGGUUUCGAUUACCUCCCCCGGCA
rnacentral:tRNA from 1 species